UGGGGAAUUUUCCGCAAUGGGCGCAAGCCUGACGGAGCAAUACCGCGUGAGGGAGGAAGGCCUUUGGGUUGUAAACCUCUUUUAUUAGGGAAGAAAAAAAUGACGGUACCUAAUGAAUCAGCAUCGGCUAACUCCGUGCCAGCAGCCGCGGUAAUACGGAGGAUGCAAGCGUUAUCCGGAAUUAUUGGGCGUAAAGAGUCCGUAGGUGGCCUUUCAAGUCUGCUGUCAAAGCAUGGAGCUUAACUCCAUAAAGGCAGUGGAAACUGGAAGGCUAGAGUUCGGUAGGGGUAGAGGGAAUUCCCAGUGUAGCGGUGAAAUGCGUAGAGAUUGGGAAGAACACCGGUGGCGAAAGCGCUCUGCUGGGCCGAAACUGACACUGAGGGACGAAAGCUAGGGGAGCGAAAGGG
rnacentral:rRNA from 1 species